AAUGAACGUUGGCGGCGUGGAUUAGGUAUGCAAGUCGAGCGCUCAUAGCAAUAUGGGAGCGGCGAACGGCGUAGUAAUGCAUCGGAACGUACCCUUCGGUCGGGGAUAGCCACGGGAAACUGUGGGUAAUACCCGAUGAUAUCUGCGGAUCAAAGGUGAGAUUCCGCCGGAGGAGCGGCUGAUGUGAUAUUAGCUUGAUGGUGGGGUAAUGGCCUACCAUGGCGAUGAUGUCUAGGGGGUGUGAGAGCAUGGCCCCCACGACCGGAACUGAGACACUGUCCGGACACCUACGGGUGGCUGCAGUCGAGAAUCUUCCGCAAUGGACGAAAGUCUGACGGAGCGACGCCGCGUGCGGGAUGAAGGCCCUUGGGUUGUAAACCGCUGUCAGAGGGGAUGAAAUCUCCGGGGGUACUCCCCCGGAGUUGACAGAGCCUCAAAGGAAGCACGGGCUAAGUACGUGCCAGCAGCCGCGGUAAAGUCUAGC
rnacentral:rRNA from 1 species